rnacentral:rRNA from 1 species
GAUGAACGCUAGCGGCAGGCCUAAUACAUGCAAGUCGAACGGGAUCCAGAUCAAAGCUUGCUUUGGUCUGGUGAGAGUGGCGCACGGGUGCGUAACGCGUGAGCAACCUACCCUUGUCAGGGGGAUAGCCCGGCGAAAGUCGGAUUAAUACCGCAUGACAUCAUUGAGAGGCAUCUUUCGAUGAUCAAAGAUUUAUCGGACAAGGAUGGGCUCGCGUGACAUUAGCUAGUUGGUAAGGUAACGGCUUACCAAGGCUGCGAUGUCUAGGGGCUCUGAGAGGAGAAUCCCCCACACUGGUACUGGGACACGGACCAGAGUCCUCCGGGAGGCAGCAGUAUGGAAUAUUGGUCACUGGACGGAAAUCUGAACCAGCCAUGCCGCGUGCAGGAAGACGGCCCUAUGUGUUGUAAACUGCUUUUAUACGGGAACAAACGUCGGUACGUGUACCGGUCUGAGUGUACCGUAAGAAUAAGGAUCGGCUCACUCCGUG